UGAGGAAUAUUGCGCAAUGGGCGAAAGCCUGACGCAGCGACGCCGCGUGGAGGAUGAAGGUUUUCGAAUUGUAAACUCCUGUUAAGGGUGAAAAAAGAUCUGCUAGUAAUAUGAGCAGAGGAUGAUGGUAGCCCUAGAGAAAGCACCGGCUAACUUCGUGCCAGCAGCCGCGGUAAUACGAGGGGUGCAAGCGUUAUUCGGAAUUAUUGGGCGUAAAGAGUGCGUAGGCGGUGCGUUAAGUCUAUUGUUAAAUCCUUCGGCCUAACCGGAGACGUGCAAUGGAAACUGGCGUGCUAGAGGGUGGAAGAGAGAAGUGGAAUUCUCGGAGUAGCGGUAAAAUGCUUAGAUCUCGAGAGGAACACCAAUGGCGAAGGCAGCUUCUUGGUCCAUUCCUGACGCUGAGGUACGAAAGCGUGGGGAGCAAACA
rnacentral:rRNA from 1 species